UGGGGAAUUUUGGACAAUGGGGGCAACCCUGAUCCAGCCAUCCCGCGUGUGCGAUGAAGGCCUUCGGGUUGUAAAGCACUUUUGGCUGGGAAGAAACAGCCUGGGAUAAUACCCCGGGCGACUGACGGUACCUGCAGAAUAAGCACCGGCUAACUACGUGCCAGCAGCCGCGGUAAUACGUAGGGUGCAAGCGUUAAUCGGAAUUACUGGGCGUAAGGCGUGCGCAGGCGGUUCGGAAAGAAAGGUGUGAAAUCCCAGGGCUUAACCUUGGAACUGCACUUUUAACUACCGAGCUAGAGUACGUCAGAGGGGGGUAGAAUUCCACGUGUAGCAGUGAAAUGCGUAGAGAUGUGGAGGAAUACCGAUGGCGAAGGCAGCCCCCUGGGAUGAUACUGACGCUCAUGCACGAAAGCGUGGGGAGCAAACAGGAUUAGAUACCCUGGUAGUCCACGCCCUAAACGAUGUCAACUAGCUGUUGGGGUUUAUUAACCUUAGUAGCGCAGCUAACGCGUGAAGUUGACCGCCUGGGGAGUACGGUCGCAAGAUUAAAACUU
rnacentral:rRNA from 1 species